CUCAUCUUGAGAUACAUUUCUAAGUCCUCCCUGAAGAACCACAGCCUCUGCAGCAGAGGUCCGCCACCCAGUUUAUUGUCCAGUCCUGUUGGUUUUCAUUCAGAGCACCUGCUGGAUCACUGUUACCAUUUGUAAACGAAGAUUAAAUCUAGCUUCCCCACACUUUCCAUGUUGAAGAAGACUGACCGCUGCAACUAAAGAAUAACACCUGGACUGAGCCAUCCCAGUGGGACUGCUGGAUUCCAUGGUGUGAGAAAACAAGAAGAGCAAGCAUGGUGCACCCAGAUCAUGGGAACAGAACUGGGCUAUUCAUCCAGGAACUUGAAGUUCUUGGCAUACAGAUCUUUCACUUGCUAGAUUGGAG
rnacentral:lncRNA from 1 species